UGAGUCUAUACCUAUUUAAUUCAAUAGUUAUAUAUUUAUCUAACCUAUUAGCUAAAUUAUAACAAUUUAUUUUAAAUUACGGUGUUUGGAUCUAACAAUGGAUUGCGGAAGUAAAUUAAAGUUAAAGUCCUUGAAAAUAGACUUGGAACCAUUCGUUCUAUUCGCUCACUCGUUUUACUUGUUGCAAUGCAAGACAAGUUACAAUGACAAUAUGGGUCGACAUGACAGCAAAGCAAAUCUAGAAGUAAUUGUCAACGAACGGUGCCAUAACUCGGCAACAAGCAGAUUUAUUAAUGGAAGCGUUCACACUAAUGACCGGAACUGUGUUUUUGAAAUAGGAUUAGAUUGUGGCUAUCUUUAAAACAAGGAACGGGGAAUCGGGG